rnacentral:misc_RNA from 1 species
GAUGAAGAACGUAGCGAAAUGCGAAAAGUAAUGUGAAUUGCAGAAUUCAGUGAAUCAUCGAAUCUUUGAACGCACAUUGCGCCCGCCAGUAUUCUGGCGGGCAUGCCUGUCUGAGCGUCAUUUCAACCCUCAUGCCCCUAGGGCGUGGUGUUGGGGAUCGGCCAAAGCCCGCGAGGGACGGCCGGCCCCUAAAUCUAGUGGCGGACCCGUCGUGGCCUCCUCUGCGAAGUAGUGAUAUUCCGCAUCGGAGAGCGACGAGCCCCUGCCGUUAAACCCCCAACUUUCCAAGGUUGACCUCAGAUCAGGUAGGAAUACCCGCUGAACUUAAGCAUAUCAAUAAGCGGAGGA